GAAUGAACGCUGGCGGCGUGCCUAACACAUGCAAGUCGCACGAGAAAGUCCCAGCUUGCUGGGGCUAGUAAAGUGGCGCACGGGUGAGUAACGCGUGGGUAAUCUACCUCCGAAUUGGGGAUAACAUUGCGAAAGCGGUGCUAAUACCGAAUGACAUCACCGAGGCUACGGCCUUGGUGAUCAAAGGUGGCCUCUACAUGUAAGCUAUUGUUUGGAGAUGAGCCCGCGUACCAUUAGCUAGUUGGUAGGGUAAUGGCCUACCAAGGCUACGAUGGUUAGCUGGUCUGAGAGGAUGAUCAGCCACACUGGAACUGACACACGGUCCAGACUCCUACGGGAGGCAGCAGUGAGGAAUUUUGCGCAAUGGGGGAAACCCUGACGCAGCAACGCCGCGUGAGUGAUGAAGGCUUUCGGGUCGUAAAGCUCUGUCAAGUGGGAAGAACCUGCUUCGUGAUAAUACCACGAAGCACUGACGGUACCACUGAAGGAAGCACCGGCUAACUCCGUGCCAGCAGCCGCGGUAAUACGGGGGGUGCUAGCGUUAUUCGGAAUCAUUGGGCGUAAAGGGCGCGUAGGCGGUCUCUUAAGUCAGAUGUGAAAGCCCUCGGCUUAACCGAGGAAGUGCAUUUGAUACUAAGUGACUUGAGUAUGGGAGAGGGAAGCGGNAUUCCUGGUGUAGCNGUGAAAUACGUAGAUAUCNNNAAGAACACCAGUGGCGAAGGNNGCUUCCUGGUCCAUUACUGACGCUGAGGCGCGAAAGCGUGGGGAGCAAACAGGAUUAGAUACCCUGGUAGUCCACGCUGUAAACGAUGAAUACUAGGUGUCGGGUCGAAAGGUUCGGUACCGAAGCUAACGCAUUAAGUAUUCCACCUGGGGAGUACGAUCGCAAGGUUGAAACUCAAAGGAAUUGACGGGGGCUCACACAAGCGGUGGAGCAUGUGGCUUAAUUCGAGGCAACGCGAAGAACCUUAUCCUGGGUUUGACAUGCAUGGAUUAACCCUCUGAAAGGAGGGCCACACUCGCAAGAGUGGAACAUGCACAGGUGCUGCAUGGCUGUCGUCAGUUCGUGUCGUGAGAUGUCGCGUUAAGUCGCUAAACGAACGCAACCCCUAUCUUUAGUUGCCAGCGCGUCAUGGCGGGGACUCUAGAGAGACUGCCGGUGUCAAACCGGAGGAAGGCGGGGAUGACGUCAAGUCCUCAUGGCCUUUAUGCCCAGGGCUGCACACGUGCUACAAUGGGACGUACAAAGCGCAGCAAGCCUGCGAAGGCAAGCGAAUCGCAAAAAGCGUCCCCCAGUUCGGAUUGCAGGCUGCAACUCGCCUGCAUGAAGCCGGAAUCGCUAGUAAUCGCCGAUCAGCAUUGCGGCGGUGAAUGUGUUCCUGAGCC
rnacentral:rRNA from 1 species